rnacentral:rRNA from 1 species
UACGUAGGGUGCGAGCGUUAAUCGGAAUUACUGGGCGUAAAGCGUGCGCAGGCGGUGAUGUAAGACAGAUGUGAAAUCCCCGGGCUCAACCUGGGAACUGCAUUUGUGACUGCAUCGCUGGAGUGCGGCAGAGGGGGAUGGAAUUCCGGGUGGAGCGGUGAAAUGCGUAGAUAUGCGGAGGAACACCGAUGGCGAAGGCAAUCCCCUGGGCCUGCACUGACGCUCAUGCACGAAAGCGUGGGGAGCAAACAGG